AAAACUCCAUCUGAACAAAGUGUUGUGUUUUUUGCCUGCCUCUGUCUCUACAGGCUCCUCUUGACCUUCCUGUGACAGUUCUCUUCUCUUCAACUGAGUUUGAGGAGGACACUGAGAACCUUCAUCAUGUCCACUGCUGACAGACUGCUGGAUGAGAUCUUCUCCUGGAUAGAGCAGAGGGAGAGCUGUGCUGCUAAGCUGAGGAAACUGGCCCGGGAGCUGGAAGAACUCAGAAAGAAAUGCAACGCCACUGAAUGUGUUGGCAGCUCGGUGGCGGUGGCAGGAACUGCUUGCCUGAUUGGAGCUGGUGUGCUCACUCUGUGCACUGGCGGAGCAGCUGCUCCAUUCUUAGGUGUGUUAGGAGCCGCAUAUACAGGUGUUGGAGCCACCAUCUCUGUGGCUGCUAAAAUCACUGAGCAUUUCAUAUCCAGUGACACCAUGAAAGAUGCACAGAAGGUGGAAACGAAGAGUGACAGCAUUGCAAAAGAAAUCCAGCGUCUGUUUCAGAAACUGAAGGCUGAGAAGAAGGAGGUGAAUCGCUCUGCAGACCCAGACGAACUGGACAAACACGUCAUGACUGAAGUCAUGAAAGCCAUGGCAAGACGAAAUGGACUGAAGGAUGAAAUCAACAUCAGCUACUUCAUUGAUGAUCCAUAUUUGAAUCUGGGUGGAGGACGUGGACUUGGAGGACUCAAUCCAAUGUUCACAGCUCAAAUGGUUGCACUUGCUGGUAUUUUAGCAUGUUUUGCAUACCAGUUAAGUGGAAAAAAAUACAAAUUCUUGUUUGCUAAAGGAGCUGAACAACUGAUCAAACUGAUAUCUUCAAAUGCAUUUAAAACAUUCCUCAAAGGAGGUGCCAUGGUCGUAGGAGGAGCUGUUGGAAUGGGGUUUGCCCUUUCUGAAGCCAUCGACAACUGGAAGGAUUUAAUCAAGAAGAAUCAUGUGACCGAAGCCAGCCAAUCAUUGAAAGACACAGCUGAUGCCAUCAAAAAGAUGACCCAAACACUGAGAGAACAGUUGGACAGCAUCAAGAGGAUGCUAAAUGAAAUGGCUAAAAGAGAAGAGGAGGAGAGACUCGCCAGAAAGAGAGAGUCUCAACUGAAACGCACAGUAACACAUUGGCUGCAAAGCACUAAAGGUGCUCAAGAGAAGAAAGGAAACCAGACGACUUGUUUCUUUAUUGUCAUAUUCCUGGGCAUUUUAUGCUUUUAUAUCAAACCAUCAGUUCACUCUGACCACACUGUCAAUGGAUCACCUGAAAACGAGGGGGUUGAUGAAUCUCAACCAGAUCAAACAAAUGAAGACUGUCAACAAGGUGGACAACCUGAGCAAAGCAAGGACGAUGAAGAGAGAGAAAGUGACCAAAAUGAACAGGGUGGGGGUGAACAACCAGGUGGGGGUGAUCAAGGAGAUGAGGAGAGUGAUAGUGAGGAUGAAGAGAGUGUUGAGAGCGACGAAGACAGUGAAAGUGAGGAAGAGACAGAAGACAAAGAAAGAAAACGUAACAUCAACCAACCUCCCCCAGCAGAGGUGAGGGUGGGGUUGCUCAAUGUUCGUUCAAUUAACAACAAAAGAUCCACAAUCAAUGAGCUCAUAACGCAAAACAACCUGGACCUGUUUCUGCCAACAGAGACGUGGUUACAAAGAGACACUGCAGAUGAAGUCCUUAGUGAAGCAUUACCUCCAAACUUCAACAGCUAUAAUCAGCACAGGGAUGGUAGAAGGGGAGGGGGGGUGGCCAUUCAGUUCUCAUCCGUGCUGCAGGGUGCCCCUCUUUAUUUUAACUACUUAACAACCUUUGAAUGUGUGGGUGCAGUCCUGCAACAUGAGACGUGGGAUGAACCGAUCCUCUUUCUCAACGUGUAUCAUCCACCAGGAUACACCCUGACCAGGUUCAGAGCUUUCCUGGACGAGUUUCAAAUGGUCCUGGAUGAUGUGAGUGAGCAGUACAACAGCAUCAUUGUGACCGGUGACUUCAACAUCUGGGUAGACUUUGAAAAGAGGACCGCGACCGAUGAGUUUGAAUUUUUAUUGCUGAUCAAUAACCUUGUUCAGCAUGUAGGGGAGCCAACACAAAGGUCAGGUCACUUUCUGGACCUGGUCAUCAGCAGAAACGUUGAUAUUCCUCAUCUCGUAGUCCGGGACGAUGGAAUAUCAGAUCAUUACACUGUUUAUUUCAACGUAAAGCCGAAGUCCACUGACACCAAGAAGACGAAGACAGAUGAAGAUGAGAAAAUAAAGAGACUCAAAAGGCAAGAGGAAUAAAUAAAAAACAUUGUAGGAAGAUAUUAACAAGUGAUUAAUAAAGGAAGAAAAACUAACAGAAAAUGACUGGGAUGAAGAUCCCAGAUGGAGUUUUUUUAAUCAUAGUACAGAUUUAGAGGAAUACAGUCUGUUGUUGAAGAGACUUUGUGCAAAAGGUGGGCUCCACCUCCACCGAACAUCUGCAGAGUUCAUUCACAGCUACACUGUUUUGUCAUUACUGCCAAAAGAGACUCAGACAUAUUAAAUCCACAUCUCUUCACUAUGGGAUUUUUUUAAUAGCACUGUCUGAUUAGAUGAUCUCUUUAUGAGGCUGUUCAGAGUAAUGUUAUUAUGAAGCUGUACGUGUGAUACAAGAACAAUUGUAUUAUCUUAUGUGUGCAUUUCAAAUUGUGAAACACUGAAUUAAUUUUAAUAAAUCUUGAUAAACCUGAUAAUUGUACUGGUAAUUCCAGUGUUGCAAAAACAUGUGUUACUAUAAC
ensembl:lncRNA